rnacentral:misc_RNA from 1 species
AAAACUUGUACAAUUCUUGAGUGCCUACCGCUGCUCUCUUUCUCUUCCCUUUCUGGGACUUUCCUUUAUAUUUUAGGGUUUCUGUUAUUCAAUUUUAGUAGAAAGGCAACAAGUAUGUUCUGUUGAAUCUCAAGUGUUAACGUAUAUGGAUAUAUGCCUAUUUUAUCGAUUACUGCAUGUUUUCUUCUGUGUAAGAUAAUUUCUUGAUAGAUGUUUGAAGGAUUUGGAAAAAAAGGUUUCUUUGCCCUGGGUUUUGAAUUUCGAUUUUUUUAUUUCUAGUAUACUGUUUGAUUGUUAGUUGUUUAGUCUUUCUGCGAGGAAUAGUAGGAACGUUAGGCGCUAAUGGAGAAUUGUGCAACAGCUGGGUUACAUGACACAUUGACUUCAAGAAAAGCUGAAGA